AACUCUUAGCAGUGGAUCACUCGGCUCGCGCGUCGAUGAAGAACGCAGCUAGCUGCGAGAAGUAAUGUGAUUUGCAGGACACAUUGAUCAUUGACACUUUGAACGCAUCUUGCGGCCCGAGGGGGCUGGGUCGGCCGGGGUGCGA
ensembl:rRNA 5_8S_rRNA 5.8S ribosomal RNA